UACGAAGGGGGCUAGCGUUGUUCGGAAUUACUGGGCGUAAAGCGCACGUAGGUGGGUCGUUAAGUCGGGGGUGAAAUCCUGGAGCUCAACUCCAGAACUGCCUUCGAUACUGGCGAUCUUGGAGUCCGGGAGAGGUGAGUGGAACUGCGAGUGUAGAGGUGAAAUUCGUAGAUAUUCGCAAGAACACCAGUGGCGAAGGCGGCUCACUGGCCCGGUACUGACACUGAGGUGCGAAAGCGUGGGGAGCAAACAGG
rnacentral:rRNA from 1 species